UGGGGAAUUUUGGACAAUGGGGGCAACCCUGAUCCAGCCAUGCCGCGUGAGUGAAGAAGGCCUUCGGGUUGUAAAGCUCUUUCGGCGGGGACGAAACGGUCCGUGACAACACCACGGACUAAUGACAGUACUCGCAGAAGAAGCACCGGCUAACUACGUGCCAGCAGCCGCGGUAAUACGUAGGGUGCAGGCGUUAAUCGGAAUUACUGGGCGUAAAGCGUGCGCAGGCGGCUCCUUAAGUCAGAUGUGAAAUCCCCGGGCUUAACCUGGGAACUGCGUUUGAAACUGAGGGGCUAGAGUGUGGAAGAGGGGGGUGGAAUUCCAGGUGUAGCAGUGAAAUGCGUAGAGAUCUGGAGGAACACCGAUGGCGAAGGCAGCCCCCUGGGCUAACACUGACGCUCAUGCACGAAAGCG
rnacentral:rRNA from 1 species